rnacentral:rRNA from 1 species
GGCAGCACGGGGGCUUGCUCCUGGUGGCGAGUGGCGAACGGGUGAGUAAUGCGUCGGGACGUACCGAGUAAUGGGGGAUAACGCAGCGAAAGCUGUGCUAAUACCGCAUACGCCCUGAGGGGGAAAGCAGGGGAUCGCAAGACCUUGCGUUAUUCGAGCGGCCGACGUCUGAUUAGCUAGUUGGUGGGGUAAAGGCCUACCAAGGCGACGAUCAGUAGCGGGUCUGAGAGGAUGAUCCGCCACACUGGAACUGAGACACGGUCCAGACUCCUACGGGAGGCAGCAGUGGGGAAUUUUGGACAAUGGGGGAAACCCUGAUCCAGCCAUUCCGCGUGAGUGAAGAAGGCCUUCGGGUUGUAAAGCUCUUUCAGCUGGAAAGAAACGGUGCGCUCUAACAUAGCGUGCUAAUGACGGUACCAGCAGAAGAAGCACCGGCUAACUACGUGCCAGCAGCCGCGGUAAUACGUAGGGUGCGAGCGUUAAUCGGAAUUACUGGGCGUAAAGCGUGCGCAGGCGGAUUGUUAAGCAAGAUGUGAAAUCCCCGGGCUUAACCUGGGAAUGGCAUUUUGAACUGGCAGUCUAGAGUGUGUCAGAGGGGGGUGGAAUUCCACGUGUAGCAGUGAAAUGCGUAGAUAUGUGGAGGAACACCAAUGGCGAAGGCAGCCCCCUGGGAUAACACUGACGCUCAUGUACGAAAGCGUGGGG